UACGGGGGGGGCGAGCGUUGUUCGGAAUCACUGGGCGUAAAGGGCUCGUAGGCGGCCAACUAAGUCAAACGUGAAAUCCCUCGGCUUAACCGGGGAACUGCGUCUGAUACUGGAUGGCUUGAGUAUGGGAGAGGGAUGCGGAAUUCCAGGUGUAGCGGUGAAAUGCGUAGAUAUCUGGAGGAACACCGGUGGCGAAGGCGGCAUCCUGGACCAUUACUGACGCUGAGGAGCGAAAGCCAGGGGAGCAAACAGG
rnacentral:rRNA from 1 species